UACGGAGAGCGCAAGCAUUAAUCGGAAUUAUUGGGCGUAAAGGGCGCGUAGGCGGGACGGUAAGUCAGAUGUGAAAUUCCGAAGCUCAACUUCGGAGCUGCAUUUGAAACUGCCAUUCUAGAGGGUAGACGGAGAAAAUGGAAUUCCACGUGUAGCGGUGAAAUGCGUAGAUAUGUGGAAGAACACCGGUGGCGAAAGCGGUUUUCUAGUUUAUACCUGACGCUGAGGCGCGAGAGCAAGGGGAGCAAACAGG
rnacentral:rRNA from 1 species